rnacentral:rRNA from 1 species
GUGGGGAAUCUUGCGCAAUGGGCGAAAGCCUGACGCAGCCAUGCCGCGUGAAUGAUGAAGGUCUUAGGAUUGUAAAAUUCUUUCACCGGGGACGAUAAUGACGGUACCCGGAGAAGAAGCUCCGGCUAACUUCGUGCCAGCAGCCGCGGUAAUACGAAGGGGGCUAGCGUUGCUCGGAAUUACUGGGCGUAAAGGGCGCGUAGGCGGACAGCUUAGUCAGAGGUGAAAGCCCAGGGCUCAACCUUGGAAUUGCCUUUGAUACUGGCUGUCUUGAGUUUGGGAGAGGUGAGUGGAACUCCGAGUGUAGAGGUGAAAUUCGUAGAUAUUCGGAAGAACACCAGUGGCGAAGGCGACACACUGGCUCAUUACUGACGCUGAGGCGCGAAAGCGUGGGGAGCAAACAGGAUUAGAAACCCUAGUAGUCC